CCUACGGGGUGCUGCAGUAGGGAAUCUUCCACAAUGGGCGAAAGCCUGAUGGAGCAACGCCGCGUGGGUGAAGAAGGUCUUCGGAUCGUAAAACCCUGUUGUUAGAGAAGAAAGUGCGUGAGAGUAACUGUUCACGUUUCGACGGUAUCUAACCAGAAAGCCACGGCUAACUACGUGCCAGCAGCCGCGGUAAUACGUAGGUGGCAAGCGUUAUCCGGAUUUAUUGGGCGUAAAGGGAACGCAGGCGGUCUUUUAAGUCUGAUGUGAAAGCCUUCGGCUUAACCGGAGUAGUGCAUUGGAAACUGGGAGACGUGAGUGCAGAAGAGGAGAGUGGAACUCCAUGUGUAGCGGUGAAAUGCGUAGAUAUAUGGAAGAACACCAGUGGCGAAAGCGGCUCUCUGGUCUGUAACUGACGCUGAGGUUCGAAAGCGUGGGUAGCAAACAGGAUUAGAUACCCUGGUAGUC
rnacentral:rRNA from 1 species